GGGAAGUAAGCUAAUCUGGUGAAAGCAUUGGACUGAAAAUCCAAGGAAGUAGGGUCGGAACCUGCACUUCCCA
rnacentral:tRNA from 1 species